rnacentral:rRNA from 1 species
AUACAUGCAAGUCGAGCGAAUGGAUUAAGAGCUUGCUCUUAUGAAGUUAGCGGCCCCAAGGGUGAGUAACACGUGGGUAACCUGCCCAUAAGACUGGGAUAACUCCGGGAAACCGGGGCUAAUACCGGAUAACAUUUUGAACCGCAUGGUUCGAAAUUGAAAGGCGGCUUCGGCUGUCACUUAUGGAUGGACCCGCGUCGCAUUAGCUAGUUGGUGAGGUAACGGCUCACCAAGGCAACGAUGCGUAGCCGACCUGAGAGGGUGAUCGGCCACACUGGGACUGAGACACGGCCCAGACUCCUACGGGAGGCAGCAGUAGGGAAUCUUCCGCAAUGGACGAAAGUCUGACGGAGCAACGCCGCGUGAGUGAUGAAGGCUUUCGGGUCGUAAAACUCUGUUGUUAGGGAAGAACAAGUGCUAGUUGAAUAAGCUGGCACCUUGACGGUACCUAACCAGAAAGCCACGGCUAACUACGUGCCAGCAGCCGCGGUAAUACGUAGGUGGCAAGCGUUAUCCGGAAUUAUUGGGCGUAAAGCGCGCGCAGGUGGUUUCUUAAGUCUGAUGUGAAAGCCCACGGCUCAACCGUGGAGGGUCAUUGGAAACUGGGAGACUUGAGUGCAGAAGAGGAAAGUGGAAUUCCAUGUGUAGCGGUGAAAUGCGUAGAGAUAUGGAGGAACACCAGUGGCGAAGGCGACUUUCUGGUCUGUAACUGACACUGAGGCGCGAAAAAAUGCCGAGCC